UUUUCCCUGUUUUUUCAUGAAGCGUGCUUUUCUGGCAAUAUCUGCGUUUCGUUUGGUCAGAUGCUCAUUGAUAAAUACGUUUGUUCCUUUCAGUUUCCUUCCUUGUUUUAACAGUGCGGUUUUGUGUUUUCUGUUGACAAACCUCAUGAUCACGGCUCGUUUGUCGCUGUCAUCUCUCCGGGGCAGAGGGUGGCAUGCCUCCACGCUGUUCCAGUCCAUGUCAAUCCCUUUGGACUGUAGGAAGGCAGCCACCUGUUGCUCCACAGAGCGGACAUCCUGCCCAUAUUAUAAACCACUAAAUAAAUAAAUAUGCAUGCAUUUAUUUUUUUUCAAAUGCGCCAAUCACAGUGGUCUGCAUACAUCUGACUCCUCCUGUUGGAACUCAUUUCGCAGAGCUCAACAAGCAGAGACACUUGGCUGAAGUUCACAUUGAUGCUCUUUUGAUUGCGCAAGCCAGGCUCGCUAGUUUAUUUGGAAGUGUACGUAAUGUCGGCAGGCACCAGAUCUGGGAAAGUUUUAAGAAAGAACACAACAACAGCGAAGGACGACAAAAUGCUCCCCUCCGCCUCCGCUCAAACAUGUGACAUCAACUUUGACAGUGGUGAUGACUCCACAGAUACCCCCCAUGUCUCUGAACCGAAGAAAGGUGACCGGUCACCAACGGUGAAGAAUCUCCUCCAAAAGGCCAAGAUGAGAGAGCGGUCUCAAGAUAAGAAACUCCAGAAAGUGAUAAAGGAGAGGGAUGCUCUUCGCAAACAACUGGCAUAUGAGAAGAUGAAACGAAAGGGCAAGGGAAAACUCAGACUUUCAAAGACAAAGAACAAAAUAAAGAAGGCCAGGAAGCACCACAAAGUGACUGAUGCCGCAAAAGAGGUAAAACUCCAGUAAAACGUUGAAUCUAUCCUUUAUGGAGCAAAUUCAUUUUCCACCUCCCCUUGUCUUCAACAUUUGAGAUUGACCUUUCUCCAGGUCAUUCAGCCUUUCUCUGAGUUUGACCAGAGAGGUUAAAAGUGAAGCGAGAAGCACAAAUGUCUGUUAAAUUCUGUGUUCUAUUUCAGAAGGGGGAGGGGGGGAAAUCCCAGAGUCGAGCCCUCAUACCUCAUACAGAAGUUAAUUGAAAAGUUUACAUUGUUACGUUAUGUGAC
rnacentral:lncRNA from 1 species